rnacentral:rRNA from 14 species
UGAAGAGUUUGAUCAUGGCUCAGAUUGAACGCUGGCGGCAGGCUUAACACAUGCAAGUCGAGCGGGGAAGGGUAGCUUGCUACCUGACCUAGCGGCGGACGGGUGAGUAAUGCUUAGGAAUCUGCCUAUUAGUGGGGGACAACAUUCCGAAAGGAAUGCUAAUACCGCAUACGCCCUACGGGGGAAAGCAGGGGAUCUUCGGACCUUGCGCUAAUAGAUGAGCCUAAGUCAGAUUAGCUAGUUGGUG